AUUGAACGCUAGCGGGAUGCUUUACACAUGCAAGUCGAACGGCAGCGCGGACUUCGGUCUGGCGGCGAGUGGCGAACGGGUGAGUAAUGUAUCGGAACGUGCCCAGUAGCGGGGGAUAACUACGCGAAAGCGUAGCUAAUACCGCAUACGCCCUACGGGGGAAAGCAGGGGAUCGUAAGACCUUGCACUAUUGGAGCGGCCGAUAUCGGAUUAGCUAGUUGGUGAGGUAACGGCUCACCAAGGCGACGAUCCGUAGCUGGUUUGAGAGGACGACCAGCCACCCGGGAAAGAGGACGGGGCCCAGACUCCACGGGGGGGCGACAGUGGGGAGUUUUGGAGGAGGGAGGAAACCCGAAUCCAGAAAUCCGGAGGGGAGGCUGAGGCCGUUGGGGUGGGAAGGAAAUUUUGGCAGGAAGAAAGCGACGCGGCCUAAAACCCGAGGAAAAUGACGGUACCGGAAGAAUAAGCACCGGCUAACUCCGUG
rnacentral:rRNA from 1 species